rnacentral:lncRNA from 1 species
AGUAAUCUAGAGGUGAUUUAAAGUCUACGGAAGGAUGUGCAUAGGUUAUAUGCAAAUACUAUGCCAUAUUAUAUCAGAGCAUCUGUGAAUUUUGGUAUCUCUGGGGUCCUGGAACCAAUAUCCUGAGGUUUCUAAGGGACAACUGUAUUCAAUUUCUUCUCUGGUUAUUAGUCUAUUCUCUAAUGUAUUUUUGUUGUUGUUUUGUCUUUUUGUUUUUGCCUCUUCAAGUCAAUGUCGGAAACUUAGUUGUUUUAGACAACCCAUUAGCUCAGAGCUACCAGUAAGCAGACUACCACUGCAAUCUAAGCAACGGAUUUUUUCCCCCAUCAGACUGGCAAAAAAUAAGCAUCUAUUGAUGUUGAAAUUGUAGGGAGUUUUCCUGAGCAUGUUAAUUAUGACAGCCCUUUUUGCUAGGCACCUACACAAUUCAUCAAAAUGAAAUAAAACACCCAUGCACUUGAAGAAGUUAUCUGGUUAUUUCCUUAUCUGGGUGCUGGUUAUGUGAGGUCUACAGUUAAUGAACACUUAUUAAGCUUUAUAUUUCUAAUAGGUACAAUUUUCUGCAUGUGUAGUAGAUUUCAAUAGUUUUUAAAAUGUCUUUUGCCGCAGCCCGCAGCUGUGUAUAAUGCUAUUCGCUUAACAGUGGAAAACAUGGCAAUGACCUGAAUCCCCCUGGCUCCCGGGAUCCUACCCCCUUAAGUUAAACAAAUGAAAUAACUUCCACUGUCUUUCCUAAUGUCUUAAUUCGGUCCUCAGUUAAACUGGCGGUGGGCGCUGCUUUUUUUCCAGGGAAGGAUUCUGGAAGACAUAGGAGGAGACGCCAGCAUUUCGCCCUCCAGCACCUCCUGCGGGCUGUGGUCCGCUUCCGGCCUCACUCGAGCAGACCCCGCCCUCCCAGAGGCCGUUUGUCCAAGUCACGUGAUCGUCGAAUCUGUUGACCUGGCGCCACCGGAAAAAGAAAUUCCCGGGCCCUGGCUUCUUGGCCUGAUGGUGAGGCACCAGAGGCACUGCUAGCCUUGAAGCCUCCAGCCUGCUGGAUGCCUCCAUCCCCGGCUAUGCUGUGGCUCUCCUCAUUCUAGGCCUCCUGCUCGUCACAUUCACCCUUGUCCUGGUGCUAAAGUGGAGGGCCUCCCAUGGGGUGUUCAGCCUGGGUGUGUAGAAGCACACAGUGUGGUACAGAGGACCCUCUCCAGACAGAAAUGAUGCUGGGAGCUGACAGAAACUGAACUUAGGAGCACAGGAGGCCAGGAGACCUGGGACAGAGAACAGGAGGUGACCCCUCAUGCUGCUGCUCCCUCUGCUGAAACCCAAACUGCAAACCUCUCCUCUCCCUGCCUUCACCUUGCCCCACGGCUUCCACAGACAGUGCCUCAACCCCGAGGAAUGAAUCCGAAGUUCCAACACCACUGACUUUCCCAGGAACUCAGAGCCAGAGAGGGCCAAGGACCAGCUCGAGGACACACAGCCAGGGCUUCUUCCCUCCGAAACCCCCAAGGACUGGACUUGCAGGGCUGGGACAGAGGUGGGGUGGGGGAAAGCAAUGCCUUGUCAACCCACGUGGGGAGCCCCACUCCCAUCCCCAAGGUGCAUAAAGUUGAGGAACACCCCUGCU